rnacentral:rRNA from 1 species
GGGAGUGGCCCGCGUACGAUUAGAUUGUUGGUGAGGCAACGGCUCACCAAGUCGACGAUCGUUAACUGGUCUGAGAGGAUGAUCAGUCAGACUGGAACUGAGACACGGUCCAGACUCCUACGGGAGGCAGCAGUAAGGAAUCUUCCACAAUGGGCGAAAGCCUGAUGGAGCAACGCCGCGUGCAGGAUGAAGGCCCUCGGGUCGGUAAACUAGCUUUUAUUGAGGUGAAGAAUAUGACGGUAACUCAUGAAUAAGCACCGGCUAACUACGUG